AGGUCUGGCGCACCAGCGGAUCGGAGAAAUCGGAUAGCCGGAACGGGUCCAGGUAACCACCGGGGUUGGCGCUCAUCCAUGCGUAGAUGCGGGCGGAACCCAGCCACUGCAGCAGGAGGUAGGCGGCCUCCUGGUUUUUCGACUGCGCCGAGACCAUGCCGGUAAGCGAGAACCAGAGCACGGAACGGCUGAUCAGCUUGCCGUCUAUCUCGCGCCCGGGCGGCAGCAUCG
rnacentral:ncRNA from 1 species